CAGCCGCCGCGGUAAGACGAACCGUGCGAACGUUAUUCGGAAUCAUUGGGCUUAAAGCGCGUGUAGGCGGAUGGGAACGUCGGUCGCUGAAAUACCCCGGCUCAACCGGGGAACUGGCAUCGAAACGACCCGUCUCGAGGGGCAUAGGGGGAGCUGGAACUUCCGGUGGAGCGGUGAAAUGCGUUGGGAUCGGAAGGAACGCCCGUGGCGAAAGCGAGCUCCUGGAUGUCUUCUGACGCUGAGACGCGAAAGCUAGGGUAGCGAACGGGAUUAGAUACCCCCGUAGUCCCUGUCUUUUAUA
rnacentral:rRNA from 1 species